UGUGCAGGGAUGGGAAUCGAACCCACAAUGUUCCGCUUACCGGGCAGAUGCCAUGUCCACUAGGCUACCCUGGAC
rnacentral:tRNA from 1 species